GAGCCUCUUAUCUUGAAAUUUUUCAUCAAGUGGAGUGGAUACUGAAUAAUUUCACGACAAGAAUAUUGGAAUUUUAUUGCUCCACAAAGGUCUUUCAAGUUACAUCUAUAGGUAAUAGGGUACGUGACCGGACCACAAAAAAAUGACCCUAAAUAACGAAUGCACAUAAUGGCAUUCAAAAUAAACCUGUUCUGCAAUUUGAAACCUUGUCAUCUAUAGAUCAGAAAGCUUCAAUAGACGCGGUUUUUAUACGACUAGCCGUGCUACGAUUGAAGACAUUGAAGAUACAUCUGUUCGCAUAAAAACAAAUCUUAUGGAACAUUAUAAACUAUUGGCUCAUGCUGCGGAGAUCCCCAACGUAAAAACGCUUCAUAUCGGCGUUGGAGCAUUUGUUAUGAAACGAUCUAAAACGUGUUGAAAUGAACAGAAGAGUUCGUGAGUUGAAAUGACUGAUUCUCAUAUGUAAGAAUGCAUUAUCAAUAGCUGUAGAACCGGAGAAUACAUAUAAAUCGACUCGUCAAUUAAUACCACCACCGUCCACGUGGUAAAGUUAGCUAUCUAUAGACUCUAACCAACCGAACUUUGAACAAAGACCAAACAAUCGAGAUCUAGAUUGCUAAAAUGGAGAAAAAAAAGGUAAUUACGAAUUUGGCGGUAUAGUUGUUGUAAGCUGAAUCAUAAUGGACAUUAUCGCUUGAAACAGUUCUAGUAUGUAGAUCUUUUAACAAUAUUAUGUAACACAUUUUUCUACAUAUUUCAUUUUCUCUUAUAGUUUUUCAAAUUGUAACAUCGAUAAGUCGAUGAAAGAAACUGAAAAAGUAAAUUUUUUGUUUAGAUUAUGAAAUACAAUUUUUCAUCAUU